GACGAACCGAGCGAACGUUAUUCGGAAUUACUGGGCGUAAAGCGUGCGCAGGCGGUUUUGUAAGUCUGUCGUGAAAUCCCCGGGCUUAACCUGGGAAUGGCGAUGGAGACUGCAAGGCUAGAGUUUGGCAGAGGGGGGUAGAAUUCCACGUGUAGCAGUGAAAUGCGUAGAGAUGUGGAGGAACACCGAUGGCGAAGGCAGCCCCCUGGGUCAAAACUGACGCUCAUGCACGAAAGCGUGGGGAGCAAACAGG
rnacentral:rRNA from 1 species